rnacentral:rRNA from 1 species
UACGAGGGGGGCAAGUGUUGUUCGGAAUCACUGGGCGUAAAGGGAGCGUAGGCGGAUGUUUAAGUCGGGAGUUUAAAACCGGGGCCCAACCCCGGAGCGGCUCCCGAAACUGGGCAUCUUGAAUAGGUCAGAGGCUGGUGGAAUUGGAGGUGUAGCGGUGGAAUGCGUAGAGAUCUCCAAGAACACCUAUUGCGAAGGCAGCCAGCUGGGACCAUAUUGACGCUGAGGCUCGAAAGCAUGGG